UCUCCGUUGGUGAACCAGCGGAGGGAUCAUUACAGGACUCGCAAGACUCCUACAACCCUGUGAACUUAACUAUAAGCACGUUGCUUCGGCGGGUGUCUCGGAGGGGGUUCUCCCUCCCCGAGACGCUAAACCCGCCGGCAGCCUACUAUACUCUGUCUCUUUGCGUUGGCAUCUCGAGUACAAUCAAACAAGUUAAAAUUUUCAACAACGGAUCUCUUGGUUCUG
rnacentral:misc_RNA from 1 species